UUUGAAAAAUAUAUGUUCACGAAGUAUUUUGUGUUAUACACAACUUAUACAAAAUUUUAAAACAAAAUAGGUCUUUUAAGAGGUGAAAAAUGCAACUUACAUGGGAGCCGAUGUGUCUACCGUCCGUCCAUGAUGAUAGAUAGAUAGAUAGAUAGAUAGAUAGAUAGAUAGAUAGAUAGAUAGAUAGAUAGAUAGAUAGAUAGAUAGAUAGUCUUAUUGUUGCUAUGUGUUAUAUUUAAUAUGUAUGCAAUACUAUAUUGACAAAUAUUUGUUUUUAUAAAAGCUUUAUCGUUAUUAAAAUGCUAGAUGUAUUGAGAUGGAUCCAAGUCGACGAAAGUAAGUAUAUGCUUAAUUUAUAUAAUAUGAUGGCCUCUUGUACGAUGAAAUAUAGACGCGAAUUUUGUUCUUAAACUAUCAUCGAUUGAACACAUAUUUCCGUUACCAAUUCUCUCACACUCUUAACCGGUAUAUUGGUGAUUUACUCAUAUAUAUAUUUCUGUCACCUAGUUAGACAGAAGACAAUACAAAUUGUGCUAGGCAACACUCAGUUACAUAUAAAUAAAUAGACUAUUAUUUUGGACCAUCUUGAAUUCAAAUUUGUAUAAUUUUUCUAUCGUUGUUUAAAGAUCUCCGACAGUUAGGUUAAAUUUUCUAUCUAGUUGUAAAACUAUGAACUUGAUAAGUAAUUCUGUUUUUAAAACUGAGUAUUAACUUUGGUUUAUAAUUAGGAGUCAUUUAUAAUUGGGAGUCAUUUGGAAGGCGAGUUUGAGUCCAGAAUAGAGUUGAUUUAAAAAUAUAAACAAUACAAGAAUACCUGAAUAUGUAAUUUUUAUUCAUAUUUUUACCUUCCAGUACUUUCAUGGAUUUUGAUAAUUGUAUGUUGAAACAUAUAAAAUAUACCACAUAUUGUACAAUGCAUUUCAGAAUGGAUUAUAUUUUUAAGUGUAAGAAGGGUGGCUCUGGCAACACAUUUGGUGUUAGGAGCCAGUCACUAUUCGCAACUGCUAUUAUAAUUCUAUUACUUGUACAUAUAUAAGUAUAUAUUAUGUCACUACAAGUAUGUUUGAGUAUUAUUUUGAAGACUUUUUUUUAAUGAGAUGAGUCAUAAAAGUGAAUUCCCAAUAUUGCAAGAGAUCAGCUUUACUACACGUGUCUACAACUCUAUACGUGACAUUGAAGAUAAUUUCGAACCUUUCUACACAGUAUACUGUAAAUUUAGAUUAAAAUAACUAAGCUAAAAUCCCCAACGAAUCGGAAAAGAGAAUGGAGAAACAUGAAGAACACUAUGCGGCGCCCGGUCUGGUAAUCGAACUCACGAUCUUCAUGUUUAAGUGAAGGAUGUUUAUCAAUUUUCACCGAGCAGAACUGCUAAUAUAGAAAUAAUGGAAGAUAAAGCUAUUAGAAUUCCAAGAGACAAACGCUGAUUUCUCAAGGCAACAACCAAUACUGUAAUGGAAAAUAUGGAAUGGUUUCGUGGAGAUUCCAUAAUCUAAUGAAAUAAUCGCCACCCUACUUCCCCAAGCAUUAGAUUUUUAUUCAUUUUUUGCCUGUUUUUUUUCUUUUUUGAUUGAUGUCAUCCAUGAUCAAAUAGACACAAAGCGGAAUAUCAUAAAAUGUAUUUUAGCCAAUGACAA